AGGUUUACGUUAUCCUUACCAUUCCAGAAGGAAAAGAGCUCUUCAUUGUCUUGGGAGUGGAGCAACAUCUGAGAGUUCACAUCAGAAAUAGGAAGCAGGAAGCAGAGAGAGCCAACUUGAAACGAGAAGAGUCUUUUGAAACAUCAAAUCCCACCACUGAAGGUGAACCAAAUCUUCAUCAGGAAAUAGAUUUAAAGGAAAUGCUGAAGACAAGUUGCCCUGUGUCGUGGAGAUCCUGUCGCUUUGGAACAGCAGGAGGAACAACAGCUUUUUCAUGCGCUCUAAAGUUCAGAUGAUGUAGAUUUUGGGGUGGGCCAUCUCAAAGUCUUGAAUCUGGUCCUGGGUAGUAGCUGAGUUGAUCAGUCUGCCAGCUUUCCUGCAUCAACAGCACCAAAGCCAGCUCUCUUCCUAUGCCACCCAAUGACCCCACCUGCAGGAGGCAGAGUCAUCUCCCCUGUUCUCAUGCUGUGCUGGCUAGUUUUGUGUCAACUUGACACAGCUGGACUUAUCGCAGAGAAAGGAGCUUCAGUUGAGGAAAUGCCUCCAGGAGAUCCAACUGUAAGGCAUUUUCUCAAUUAGUGAUCAAGGGGGAAAGGCUCCUUGUGGGUGGGA
rnacentral:lncRNA from 1 species